AACUCUUGACCUCAGGUGAUCACCCACCUCAGCCUCCCAAAGCGCUGGGAUUACAGGCGUGAGCCACCACGCUGGCCGAUAAUUUUGAUUUGGUAUAUCUGCCCUCCUCCUCCAUUGGGUGAAAGUUUUUUGAGAGUAAUAUAUGAUGUUGACAUAUGAAGCCUGCCUCCCAAAGUGCCUAGGACAAGUUUUUAUUCUUGACUGCUUGUCUUUUAUUUCCUUAUUCCCAGUACCUGGUGGAGCUCUUGAUUCAUAACAAGUGCUACGUAAAUGCUAAUUGUAUCAAUUAAUAUUACUGCCUACUUGGAGCUUCAAGUCUAAUUUGGGGAAAAUAAAGAGCAACAGAAAAGAGAACACUUGGUCCAACACAUAAAAAGGGUGACAAUAUUUUAGAGAGUUUGGGUAGACUUGAAUAUUAUUUGUUUAGAACCUGAAUCUCAAGUCUAAGUCUGUGACAAGAUUUCUCUUCCAGAUGAUGAGGAGUCUGAUGAGGAAGCUGUGAAGAAAACCAACAAAUGUGUACUAGUCUGGGAGGGUACAGCCAAAGACCGGAGCUUUGGAGAGAUGAAGUUUAAACAGUGUCCUACAGAGAACAUGGCUCGUGAGCAUUUCAAAAAGCAUGGGGCUGAACACUACUGGGACCUUGCGCUGAGUGAAUCUGUGUUAGAGUCCACUGAUUGAGACUACUGCAAGCCCUUGCCUCUCCCCCCUUGCCUUUGUCUCUUCAGUCCUCUCACUUAUUCUAUUUCCCAACCCCCUCCCACUUGUUUGUGUGAUCUCAGAACUGUGCCAAGCAGACAUUGGGACAAAGGGAGAAUAUCUUGCUCCCCUCCUGAGUCAGCCUGGUGUUGCCCUUUAUUCCCCUUAUGUGCAUAUGAUUAAAGAGUUAUUUUUAAA
rnacentral:sRNA from 1 species